rnacentral:rRNA from 1 species
AAAAGACUUAGUCCUAACCUUACUGUUAGUUUUUGCUAGGUAUAUACAUGCAAGUAUCCGCGCGCCAGUGUAGACGCCCUGGACACCUUAAUCAGGUAGAUAGGAGCGGGUAUCAGGCU